AAGAACCAGAACACAUAUCAGGGACAGAUCACAAAUGAAAGAGACUACAGCUAUGGGAAGAGUCAAGCUUUUGAGUCUUUCCUGGGAUCUCUGAAAAAAGGAGUUGCAAAAACACCUGCACUUGGUUGACUUUCUCUUCUCCUAAAGAUACAGGAUCAGUCUCAGGCCAUGGACCUGGCAACCCUACACCUGGAGCUCCCUGAAAGAAAGGAGCAGAAAAAUAAAACCCAUUGAUGGAAUUCAGCAACGUGUGGAGGACCCCAUAUUGGCAAUCCCUGAUGUGGUUGUUCUUGCUCAAGAAAUAUGACACAAUAGCGGGCAGUCGAAAACUCAGCAGAACAACUAGAUUUAUAAGCUCACAAUCAUUACAAAGAACAACUGAGAAGAAGAAACCAGUCGUCAGUGUACUGCAGUCUUUGCAGUGGCUUCCAGAUUCUGGUUUAGCUCUUGUUGUGACUGCAUACCUAUGUGUGGGCUGCAUCAUUUUAGAUUGAAGGUAGGGCCUCAAAUGGUGGGAUGCUUCUGUCCAUUCUUGGCUGCUGAGGAUAGAGCCCAUCCUCUGAAUGACUGCUCUUCUGAACCAUCCAGACUCAUUACACUCCCUGGAUCAGAGAACAUCCCCUUGCAAGAACACCCGAUGUCAGGUGAUUGACAGGCAGCGUUUCGCCAUCAGAUCAUAGUCACUCAUUGUUGCAGCUAUGGCUAUCUGCUGACACAUGGUCCAGUAAAUUGUUAACCAACAAUUUUUGUAGAACACAAAUGUUCCUACUUUUGUGCAAGGAAUUUGCAGGAACACACUGGUGGGCUCUGCCCUAAUGACGCAUCCAGUCAUUUUCAACCAUUGUGAAGAUAAUGGCUAUGAUCCAGAAGAGUCAAGUCUACUGUGCAAGAGAUCUGCCUGCGAAUUCAUCAUUUUCUACAUAAGCAGCAAAUCCACUAGGCAUGAGAAGAGCUGCAUAGAAAAUUUACACGCUACACAAAAACAGAGUGAAACUGUGUCUAGAAUCCAUGGGUUAAAAAGUGGGGUGGAGAAAGGUUCAUUGUAGAAGUGGCUGGUGGAGGAAAGAUGAAGAAUAUAAGGAGAGCCCUGCUGGAUGAGGACGAAGGCUCUCUAGUCUAGCAUUGUAUUCUUUCAGUGGCCAACCAGAUGGCUAUGGGAAGGCCACAAGCAUGUCAUUUCCCUUGGCAACUGACAUUCAGAGGCAUACUGCCAUCACAACUAGUGGCCAUUGAUAAUCUUAUCUUCUAAGAAGUUGGUCUAACUCCAGUUGAAAGCCUUCCACACUGCCAUAACUACAGCUUGCGGCAGCAGAUUCCAUAGUUUAGCUGUGCACUGUGUGGACAAAUAUUUCCUUUUGUCUCUCCUAAAUUGUUUCUGGCAUUUCUCCCUCCCAACCACUUCAAGUUGCUUCUUCCCAAACUGCUUUUCUUUAGAAGAUUCCAGUGGAGGUUGUGGCAUGCAUUUGUAAGAGAGCAGGGACUAUAUAGGCGAUAGGUGCCCUCCAUAGCCUGUUGGACUUCAGCCCAAGUGAGCAUGGCUGAAUGGCCAGGGAUGAUGGGAGUUGUAGUCCAGCAACAUCUGAUAUAGACUGGUUACUUCUGAUAUAGACAGCUCACUGGUAUGCAUAUGCUCAGGGCCUACUGAGGCUCUUAAUUGCUGAAUUCAUGUCAUAAAAUUAUGGACACAGUGCUGUAAAACACUUAGAGCAAUCUCCCACCUGACUUUUCCAGUGGGCUGAAUGUUCACACCUGAAGCUUAGGAGCUUGCUUUAUUCCAAUAAAUGAGUAUGGUGGUGUAAGUUUAGGAUUGACUCUUGGCCAAUUUAUUAAACAUAAUCACUUUUCAAAAGAGCCACAGUGCAGUCUCUUCCAUGUUUAUUUAUUAAGAAAAUGUCUUAAUUGCUUUGCAUUCAGAGAAUCUCAAAGCCAUGUACAAAAACUAAAAAUCAAAUACAACAGAACAGUGGUUCCCAACCUGGGGGCCGGGACCCCCAGGGGGGCUGCGAAGUAAUCCAGAGGGGGCUGUGAACAGUAAAGAAAUGAAUUAUUUAUUAAUUUUUUUAAAACGAGAGGGGAGGCCUUUUGCUGAAGCACCAGAGCGUCUUUCAGGAGCACUAAGGGCAGGCAUCUGCCUAUAAAAUACAUGGCAGAUGCCAAAGGAGGCUGAGGGUGGAGCUACCAGGAAGAAGAGGGGAUUACUAUCACUGAUUCCCGUCUCCUUGCACUGCCGCUACUGGCAACACCCUUACUUAGAAUGAGAGGAGAGGGCUUUUUGUGAAGCAAAAAGAAGCAAGCCUGCAUAGAAAGGCUGCUUUGCCCCUUCCUUCCUGGCAGCCAGUCUGCCUCCCUGAGGGGAGGGGGUCACAUUUUUUUUCCAGCUUAUAAAGGGGGUCCCGUGCUCAUAAAGG